rnacentral:rRNA from 1 species
AGUGAACGCUGGCGGUAGGCCUAACACAUGCAAGUCGAACGGCAGCACAGUAAGAGCUUGCUCUUACGGGUGGCGAGUGGCGGACGGGUGAGGAAUACAUCGGAAUCUACUUUUUCGUGGGGGAUAACGUAGGGAAACUUACGCUAAUACCGCAUACGACCUACGGGUGAAAGCAGGGGAUCUUCGGACCUUGCGCGAUUGAAUGGGCCGAUGUCGGAUUAGCUAGUUGGCGGGGUAAAGGCCCACCAAGGCGACGAUCCGUAGCUGGUCUGAGAGGAUGAUCAGCCACACUGGAACUGAGACACGGUCCAGACUGCUACGGGAGGCAGCAGUGGGGAAUAUUGGACAAUGGGCGCAAGCCUGAUCCAGCCAUACCGCGUGGGUGAAGAAGGCCUUCGGGUUGUAAAGCCCUUUUGUUGGGAAAGAAAAGCAGCAGGUUAAUACCCCGCUGUUCUGACGGUACCCAAAGAAUAAGCACCGGCUAACUUCGUG